GACGAACGCUGGCGGCGUGCUUAACACAUGCAAGUCGAACGGUGAAGCUCCAGCUUGCUGGAUUGGAUCAGUGGCGAACGGGUGAGUAACACGUGAGCAACCUGCCCCUGACUCUGGAAUAAGCCCUGGAAACGGCGUCUAAUACUGGAUACGAGAAUGGUCCGCAUGUGCACUUUCUGGAAAGUUUUUCGGUUGGGGAUGGGCUCGCGGCCUAUCAGCUUGUUGGUGAGGUAAUGGCUCACCAAGGCGACGACGGGUAGCCGGCCUGAGAGGGCGACCGGCCACACGGGGACUGAGACACGGAGCAGAAUGCUACGGGAGGCAGCAGUGGGGAAUAUUGCAGAAUGGGCGAAAGCCUGAUGCAGAGACGCCGCGUGAGGGAUGACGGCCUUCGGGUUGUAAACAUCUUUCAGCAGGGAAGAAGCGAAAGUGACGGUACCUGCAGAAGAAGCACCGGCUAACUACGUG
rnacentral:rRNA from 1 species